rnacentral:rRNA from 1 species
AGCAUAUCAUAAGCGGAGGAAAAGAAACCAACAGGGAUUGCUCUAGUAACGGCGAGUGAAGCAGCAAUAGCUCAAAUUUGAAAUCUGGCGUCUUCGACGUCCGAGUUGUAAUUUGUAGAGGAUGCUUCUGAGUAACCACCGACCUAAGUUCCUUGGAACAGGACGUCAUAGAGGGUGAGAAUCCCGUAUGCGGUCGGAAAGGUGCUCUAUACGUAGCUCCUUCGACGAGUCGAGUUGUUUGGGAAUGCAGCUCUAAAUGGGAGGUAAAUUUCUUCUAAAGCUAAAUAUUGGCCAGAGACCGAUAGCGCACAAGUAGAGUGAUCGAAAGAUGAAAAGCACUUUGGAAAGAGAGUUAAAAAGCACGUGAAAUUGUUAAAAGGGAAGGGAUUGCAACCAGACUUGCUCGCGGUGUUCCGCCGGUCUUCUGACCGGUCUACUCGCCGCGUUGCAGGCCAGCAUCGUCUGGUGCCGCUGGAUAAGACUUGAGGAAUGUAGCUCCCUCGGGAGUGUUAUAGCCUCUUGUGAUGCAGCGAGCGCCGGGCGAGGUCCGCGCUUCGGCUAGGAUGCUGGCGUAAUGGUCGUAAUCCGCCCGUCUUGAAACACGGACCAAGGAGUCUAACAUCUAUGCGAGUGUUCGGGUGUCAAACCCCUACGCGUAAUGAAAGUGAACGGAGGUGAGAACCGCAAGGUGCAUCAUCGACCGAUCCUGAUGUCUUCGGAUGGAUUUGAGUAAGAGCAUAGCUGUUGGGACCCGAAAGAUGGUGAACUAUGCCUGAAUAGGGUGAAGCCAGAGGAAACUCUGGUGGAGGCUCGCAGCGGUUCUGACGUGCAAAUCGAUCGUCAAAUUUGGGUAUAGGGGCGAAAGACUAAUCGAACCAUCUAGUAGCUGGUUCCUGC